CUUCUAGAUCUCACAACCAACAUAGAAAAUAGAGCAUGAGACUGAUGAUUCAGAUGCAAAAUCAAACAAAAUAUAACCAACAAAAUCAAAAUAUAACCAAAAAAAAAAAAGACAAGAUGAAGCCGAGAUAUUAUACCCACGACAUAUCAUAACCAGAAGCUUGCAACAAGAAGCCAAUAAUACACGAUCAGAGGCAAGGAAUAGAGACCCCGAGAGGAAAUUUUUCUUCUACACCGCACAACAAAGAUAGAAAAUACAUCAUCAUAGUCUCGUUUCAGAUCCAAAACCAAACAAAAUUUAACCAACAAAAGCAU